UUGAACGCUGGCGGCAUGCCUUACACAUGCAAGUCGAACGGCAGCACGGGAGCAAUCCUGGUGGCGAGUGGCGAACGGGUGAGUAAUAUAUCGGAACGUGCCCAGUAGUGGGGGAUAGCCCGGCGAAAGCCGGAUUAAUACCGCAUACGACCUGAGGGUGAAAGCGGGGGAUCGCAAGACCUCGGGCUAUUGGAGCGGCCGAUAUCAGAUUAGCUAGUUGGUGGGGUAAAGGCCUACCAAGGCUACGAUCUGUAGUUGGUCUGAGAGGACGACCAGCCACACUGGGACUGAGACACGGCCCAGACUCCUACGGGAGGCAGCAGUGGGGAAUUUUGGACAAUGGGCGCAAGCCUGAUCCAGCAAUGCCGCGUGCAGGAAGAAGGCCUUCGGGUUGUAAACUGCUUUUGUCAGGGAAGAAAUCUCCUGGGCUAAUACCCCGGGAGGAUGACGGUACCUGAAGAAUAAGCACCGGCUAACUACGU
rnacentral:rRNA from 1 species